rnacentral:lncRNA from 1 species
AUGUAUUCCGGACUGUCCGUAACAAGUUGCCAUUGGAUUUUAGUCAUGCAGAUCAUUAGAACUGCUUGCCGCCCCGUAUUGCCUGCAAUGACAAAAAUCGACAUGAUGGGCUCAAUCAGGGAAGAGUCACAAAAGUCGGCAGAAGUAUCUAUGGAGCGUCCAACUUACAUUAUUAGAAAAAGUCCAGAUGGUUUCAGCGGAGAAUCGGAACAAAAUACCAUGAAUGGGUUUGAAAACGGUAACCCAUCGUCUUACACUGAAUCCCAUGCUCUUAAAAGAAGGCAAGCCCUCACAACUGUAAAAUCAACUUGGAAAACGGGGAGGGCUUUUCAAGCUUUGGGGAAAACAGCCUUGGAAUGGGUCGGGGCAGCAGCAUCGGGGGUGAAAAAGGUGGCGAAUGCAGCCCGACCUAAGAAUAUAAAAAAAUUAAUGAAGCCUAAGAAGAAAAAGGGUGGUAAGAAAAGUGGUUUCUUUCAUCGUGGUCACAAGGAUCAUUAGGAUAAAGGCCCUGCGUAAAUUUAAAAAAUGAGGUCAAUCGUUUGAAAGAUGCUGAAAGAAAAUAUUGCAUUUUUUAAGUAAAGAACUCAGAAAUUAGUAAAGUCUUGGAGAAAUUUAGUAAAAUUCCUCGCGCAAUAAAGUUUGUACUUUGUUAAUG